AUAUAGGGAUAAUCUAUCAUCCCAGGAAUAUUACUGUUUACAGGAAGACGAAAUAAAGUACAGUAUUAUUGCAGGGUCAGAAAAUGAACACGAAGCUGAAGUGUCCUGCUCUAUUGGGAUUUCUGGUCUGUUUUCUUAUUUUCCACGUGGUGCAAGGUGUGACCUCAGGCAAUGUGACUGGUACUGAGUGCACUGUACAGGAGUCGUACCUGAUAUACAAAACUGUUGUGACUCAGCACGCGCACGAAGUCUGCACUAACACGUGGUGUUGGCAUUUUCCUCCGCGAUGUAGGAGAUGCAGCUCGCGUGUUGUGAUGAUCUAGUCGGCGUUGAAGCAAAUUUUGCUGGUCAGAAUAAAACAUCACAGACAUUGGAGACAUGUAAUAGGGUUAGGCCUGUCAUAACCCUGACGGGGACAGAAAGAUGCAGCGCAUCAUUCCAGCGAGAGAUGAAAUUUCCGGCCACGCCGAUGCUCUCCCUUUCCUGUUGCAGUUGCGUGACUAAGGGAGUUAUGGUUCGUUUAUUUUCACCUUCAAUUGUUUUUUAUUUAUCGUGUCACAGCUAGAGAAGUUUUGUUAUUUUCUACAAAGCCUGAUAAAGAUCGGCUCAAGGGAUCGGAAGAUAAAAUUUACAUCUCAGGUGUUGACAGUAUGGUCCUGUCUGAUACUUUUAACACUUUGUGUACUCGCUUUGAGAUAUUCGAUUUAGGUAGUGUCAUGGAUCAUUUACUGUCUGGUUAACAAUGGCACUUUUUCUUACUCACGAUGUUCCCUAGAUCACCCCAAGGCUGUAUUUUAUCCCUGAGCUUGUUUAUUCUGUAUACAAACAGCUGUCGCAGUAACUAUGAGGGUCAACAUCUUGUCAUAUUCUCCGAUGACACUACACUGAGGUCUCUCUUCAUAGCGAGCGAAUAGAUACCAAUAAUGUAGCCUUGGAUGAAUUUAUUGCCUGGUGCUAUGACAAUUUCUGAGGACUUAAUGUGGGUAAGAUAACGAAAUUGCCUUUAAUUUCCAUCGAAACUCUCCACUAAGUCCCGUAAUUGUCGCCCAUGACCAGGACGUGGAAAUUGUCAAUACAUUGAAAUACCUGGGCACCAGCUUCGACAGGUCAUUUUGCUGGGAUGGGCUAUUGUGUAAAACGCUCAACAACGCCUCUUUCUUCUCUGAAAGCUGGUCUUUCUCUGUCACCCAGCGAUUACUUCAGCGAUUUUAUAGAUUCCACAUGUAGAGCUGCUGUCCUCGCUCAUCUGGUUUUACAACCGUUUACCCGUGAAGGACAAGAGGAGCUUGAAUAAUGUUGUA